CCUGAGCAUCCUCAUCUCCGCAACCUUCAUCCUCUGAACAUGAGAGUUCUUCACUGGACAACACUCCGGCCAUACAAUAUUGCAGGUCUAACCACAGCUCUAUGAAAUUUCCCCUUGAGUUUCAGUGGAACUUUCUUGUCACACAACACUCCUGAUGCAAGCCUCCACUUUGACCACCCCGCUCCUAUAUGAUGAGUGACGUCCCCGUCA
rnacentral:lncRNA from 1 species